rnacentral:rRNA from 1 species
UACAGAGGGUGCAAGCGUUAAUCGGAAUUACUGGGCGUAAAGGGCUCGUAGGCGGCCAACUAAGUCAGACGUGAAAUCCCUCAGCUUAACUGGGGAACUGCGUCUGAUACUGGAUGGCUUGGAUUCGGGAGAGGAAUGCGGAAUUCCAGGUGUAGCGGUGAAAUGCGUAGAUAUCUGGAGGAACACCGGUGGCGAAGGCGGCGUCCUGGACCAAUUCUGACACUGAGGAGCGAAAGCCAGGGGAGCAAACGGG